rnacentral:rRNA from 1 species
GACGAACGCUGGCGGCGUGCCUAAUACAUGCAAGUCGAACGACGCUGUUUUAACUGGUGCUUGCACCGACUUAAACAACUGAGUGGCGAACGGGUGAGUAACACGUGGGUAACCUGCCCCAAAGCGGGGGAUAACACUUGGAAACAGAUGCUAAUACCGCAUAACCACAGAAACCACAUGGUGUCUGUGUCAAAGAUGGUUUCGGCUAUCCCUUUGGGCUGCACCCGCGGCGUAUUAGCUAGUUGGUAAGGUAAUGGCUUACCAAGGCAAUGAUACGUAGCCGAACUGAGAGGUUGAUCGGCCACAUUGGGACUGAGACACGGCCCAAACUCCUACGGGAGGCAGCAGUAGGGAAUCUUCCACAAUGGACGAAAGUCUGAUGGAGCAACGCCGCGUGAGUGAAGAAGGUUUUCGGAUCGUAAAACUCUGUUGUCAGAGAAGAACGUGUGCGAGAGUAACUGCUCGUGCAGUGACGGUAUCUGGCCAGAAAGCCACGGCUAACUACGUGCCAGCAGCCGCGGUAA